GAUGGCGAGUGGCGGACGGGUGAGUAAUAUGUAGGAAUCUACCUAGAGGUGCGGGAUAACUUGGGGAAACUCAAGCUAAUACCACAUAAUCCCUAAGGGGGAAAGCAGGGGCUCGUAAGACCUUGCGCCUUAUGAUGAGCCUACAUUGGAUUAGCUUGUUGGUGGGGUAAAGGCCUACCAAGGCGACGAUCCAUAGCUGGUCUGAGAGGAUGAUCAGCCACACUGGGACUGAGACACGGCCCAGACUCC
rnacentral:rRNA from 1 species